ACAAGUUUCAUACAAUUGCAGAAUAAUCUUUCUACAACAGGUGGUAAGAAAAGGAUCAUUGACAAGCCUCUAUCAAAAGUAUUAUUUGAAGAACUCAAGGUUAUGCAUACACAAGGCAGAUUUUAAGGUGUUUGAAAUAUCAUAAUGACUAGAGUGGGGUUCACCAGGAACAUGGAACUUUCUAAUCUUAUGGCCAUACAAUGAUCACAUGUACAAUAAUAUCAAUCUUACUUAUAGUAAAGGCUUUUUUCAUAUGAAAGGGUACUGUACUUUCACUAUUUUGUUCACAUUCCAAUAGCACCUAAAAAAAUCAAUUCUAUGGACAGUUAGAAGUCAGUAUUGUAUGAUUGUUUUCUUCCCAAUAAUUGUUGGGGAUUGAGCCAUGUAGCAUAGAUGAACUCUCUUGUUGACUU